CGGCAGAGGGUGAUUUGUCUUCAGGGGCUGGCUUCCUUUUACCAGCGGCUCCUCCAUACUGUCCAAUGAACGACCCAUCUUCUGUGAACCUUCCUGAGAUAUAGAUAAUGUUCAUCAGCAGUGUUAAAGAUUAUGUGAAGUUAAUGAAAAGAAUUCAAUCAGAUGAGAACCAGGCAGAACUACAAAGGGAUCUGGACAGGCUGCAGGGCUAGUCCAGAAACUGGCUCCUAGAGUUCAACCCCACCAAGUGCAAAGUCAUGAAGAUUGGGGAAGGGCAAAGAAGACUGCAGACGUAGUACAAUCUAGGAGGUCAGAGACUACAAACCUCACUCAAGAAAAAGGAGCUUGGGGAGAGUAUAACACCAGGCAUAUCUCCUGAGGGGCACAUCAACCAAAUAACUACUGCAGCAUAUGGACAUCUAGCAAACCUAAGAAUAGUAUUCCGAUAUCUCAAUAAGGAAUUGUUCAGGACCCAGUACAUCAGGCCUAUGUUGGAGUAUGAAGCGCCAGUUUGCAACCCACACCUAGCCAACCACAUAAGGAAAUUAGAGAAAGUGCAAAGGUUUGCAAGACUAGUCCCAGAGCUAAGGGGCAUGUUCUACAAGAAGAGGUUAAAGGAAAUUGACCUGACGACACUGGAAGACAGGAGGGAUAUAACAACAUAUAAAACUUUUUUUUAACCCGUGAAACGGUCCAACUUAUAUAUAUGUUUUUACCGCUAGUGCCCCAGACGUAUACGUAUAUAUGUUUUAUUUGUCAAACAUUCAACAUUGCCACGAUAAGCCUGAGUCACCUAGACAUUAGAGAAUGGGUGUGUGCACUCACUGUGCGCCAUAUUAAAAUAAUUGGGGAUGCCUGGGUACCAUAUGCUCUUUUUUCCUAUUAAAAAAAAAAAAAAAAAAAAA